rnacentral:rRNA from 1 species
AGACGUAGGGGGCGAGCGUUGCGCGAAAUUACUGGGCGUAAAGGGUCCGUAGGCGGUCUGGUAAGUGGAAGGUGAAAGCCUGGGGCUCAACUCCAGAAUUGCCUUCCAAACUGCCGGACUUGAGGCAGGGAGAGGUCGGCGGAAUUCCCGGUGUAGCGGUGAGAUGCGUAGAUAUCGGGAGGAACACCAGUGGCGAAGGCGGCCGACUGGAACUGUCCUGACGCUGAGGGACGAAAGCCAGGGGAGCGAACCGGAUUAGAUACCCUAGUAGUCC